GCAGGUGGAGGCAGGUGGAAGCAGGUGGAAGCAGGUGGAGGCAGGUGGAAGCAGGUGGAAGCAGGUGGAGGCAGGUGGAGGCAGGUGGAGGCAGGUGGAGGCAGGUGGAAGCAGGUGGAAGCAUGCGUCCUUUGGCGACAGAUCGUCAGAGGAUGUGAUACUGCGAGACAGUUACGGAGCUCUGCACCACGCUGCACUGUUGCAUCCGGUGUAGGCUUACAUAUAAUCCACAUAGCCAGGUGUGUGGAAAAAGGAGUUUGCUCCCUUCAGCGGCAGGCUAUCCGUUACACACCCCUCACUCCGGGGAGCCCAAUCUUGGGUCCACACACCCUUGACCCAGGUUGCCGCGAAGAAACUGCCUGGUACUGUCAUGGUGUGUAUGUGUGUGUGUGUCUCUCGGUGAACACGUCCAGGGACAGGCUGCAGCCACCGACACUGGAGUGCUCCCACAGCACUUGGCAUAUACCGUCUGGUUCAGCAGCCCCUGGGUACCAUCUUCGCACUUGCUGGGCACGUCAGCUCGCUGUUGCUGUCCUCGGCCGCCACACCACGGAGACGUCCGUAUCCUGGUCGGCUGUCUGUCUGGU
rnacentral:lncRNA from 1 species